rnacentral:rRNA from 1 species
GUGAGGAAUAUUGCGCAAUGGAGGCAACUCUGACGCAGCCAUGCCGCGUGCAGGAAGAAGGCGCUACGCGUUGUAAACUGCUUUUAACCGGGAAGAAACCCCAGGACGUGUCCUGGGUUGACGGUACCGGAGGAAUAAGCACCGGCUAACUUCGUGCCAGCAGCCGCGGUAAUACGAAGGGUGCAAGCGUUAUCCGGAUUCAUUGGGUUUAAAGGGUGCGUAGGCGGAGCGUUAAGUCAGUGGUGAAAUCCUGCAGCUUAACUGUAGACUUGCCAUUGAUACUGGCGCUCUUGAGUGCGCUUGAAGUGGGCGGAAUGUGCAGUGUAGCGGUGAAAUGCUUAGAUAUGGCACAGAACACCAAUUGCGAAGGCAGCUCACUAAGGCGAUACUGACGCUGAGGCACGAAAGCGUGGGGAUCGAACAGGAUUAGAUACCCGAGUAGUCC